CUUCCGGAAGCGGAGCGCCGGACCCACAACGGCUGGGUGUGCAAAGCGGCGGUGGCGGGCGCGGCGGAAAGGAGGAGACCUGAAGGGGACCCGGGCCUGCCUCCCGCGCCGGGGUGGAGCACCAUGGACGAAGCAGGCAGCUGUGCGAGCGGCGGAGGCUUCCGGCCGGGCGUGGACAGCCUGGACGAGCCCCCCAACAGCCGCAUCUUUCUGGUGAUCAGCAAGUACACUCCCGAGUCGGUGCUGAGGGAGCGCUUCUCGCCCUUCGGCGAGAUCCAGGACAUCUGGGUGGUGCGGGACAAGCACACCAAGGAGUCCAAGGGCAUCGCCUUCGUCAAGUUUGCCCGCAGCUCGCAGGCCUGCAGGGCCAUGGAGGAGAUGCACGGCCAAUGCCUCAGCCCCAAUGACACCAAGCCCAUCAAGGUGCAGGUUUUCAUUGCUCAGUCCCGAUCAUCUGGAAGUCACCGCGAUGUUGAAGAUGAAGAACUUACGAGAAUAUUUGUUAUGAUACCAAAGUCCUACACAGAAGAAGAUCUGCGGGAAAAAUUUAAGGUGUAUGGAGAUAUCGAGUAUUGCAGCAUUAUUAAGAAUAAAGUAACUGGAGAAAGUAAAGGUUUGGGUUAUGUUCGAUACUUAAAACCAUCACAAGCUGCCCAAGCAAUAGAAAACUGUGAUCGAAGUUUUAGGGCAAUCUUGGCUGAACCUAAAAAUAAAGCAUCUGAAUCCUCGGAACAAGACUAUUAUAGUAACAUGAGGCAGGAGACAUUGGGACAUGAACCUAGAGUUAAUAUGUUUCCAUUUGUUGGAGAACAACAAUCUGAGUAUUCAAGUUUUGACAAGAAUGACAACAGAGGCCAAGAAGCUAUCUCCAAACGCCUGUCAGUUGUAUCAAGAGUUCCUUUCACUGAAGAGCAGCUUUUCAGUAUUUUUGAUAUAGUACCAGGAUUGGAAUACUGCGAGGUUCAACGAGAUCCUUAUUCUAAUUAUGGUCAUGGAGUGGUUCAGUAUUUCAACGUAGCAUCAGCUAUUUAUGCAAAAUACAAGUUACAUGGGUUUCAGUACCCUCCUGGGAAUCGGAUAGGUGUUUCCUUCAUUGAUGAUGGGAGUAACGCAACAGAUCUUCUCAGAAAAAUGGCAACGCAGAUGGUAGCAGCACAGCUUGCAUCAAUGGUGUGGAAUAACCCAAGUCAGCAGCAAUUUCUGCAAUUUGGAGGAAAUUCUGGAUCACAGUUGCCUCAAAUCCAGACAGAUGUUGUACUUCCAUCGUGCAAAAAAAAAGCCCCUCCUGAAACUCCUGUGAAAGAAAGACUUUUUAUCGUGUUUAAUCCUCAUCCUUUACCUUUAGAUGUAUUAGAGGAUAUAUUCUGUCGUUUUGGUAACCUGAUCGAAGUUUACCUUGUGUCAGGAAAAAACGUGGGGUAUGCCAAAUAUGCAGAUAGAAUAAGCGCAAAUGAUGCCAUUACUACUUUACAUGGGAAGAUCCUAAAUGGAGUCAGACUUAAAGUUAUGCUGGCGGAUUCCCCAAGAGAAGAAUCUAACAAACGACAAAGAACUUACUGAUUCUUGAGAAAUUCAGUACCUGCUUGCAUCAUCCUUCUGAAAACAGUAACUCAAGGACACAUGGAUCCUGGGAACUGAAGACUUGAGAAGCACAUUAUUCCUCUGGUUUUUAAGUUUUUCCAUGCAGCCUGGAAAAAGUGAGUACACACAUCCAUUUUGCAUAAAUAACAUUACCCUGAUAACAAAACUUAAAAGGCAGUUAAAAUGAAAGCUAUAUAUUCUUAGUUUACCCAUGAAUAUGGAUGUAAACAAAUCUAAAUAAGGUAUUAGAAAGUGCAAAUAAUAUGUUCAAAGAACAAUUAACCAUGCCUAGUAGGGGGCUUAUCCUUUGAUGAAAGAGCAAUUCACAUUAAGAAAAAUUAUUACUGUAAUACUUAUCUUCAUAGGACCAUAAUGAGAUCUGCAAGUUGAUUACUUAUCCAUUCUUGUGAUUGUGUAAGUGCCAUGGACAGUUAGAUUAUGUUUGGUUUCCUUGAAACAGUCACUAGCUGGAGAAAUGGGAUUAGCCUGACAUCUGUAAGUGAAGCAAUGUCUAACCCUCCCCUCUAACUACAUGAUUGCUAUAUAAUGGAGAAACAAAGUAUGGAUGGGUAUCGGUGAGAGAACCAAAAUGUCUAAAACAGCUUCUUAGAAAAAUAGCUCAAUUUAUUGAGCCCUUACUAUUUGCCAGGCAUUAGGCUAAUUGCUUUACAUCUCAAAACCUAUGAAGUAUUGUUCUUGUUUUAUCAAAAGGAAGCUAAGGUGCUCUGAGAGGUGAAGUAAUUUGCCCAAGAUCACACAGCCAGCAAAGGGGGAAGCAGCACUUUGGACACAGUCUUCACUGAAACCCAUAUUCUUAACCAGUACACUAGAUAUCAACAGCUGUAACAAUUCAGAAACUACCAUACGCACCAAUUGAAUAUUAUACAACAACAGAUCCUUCCAGAACUAUGGAAUAGCAUGGGAAUAAUGCUUACUAUUUAGUGAAGACAAACAGUAUACAAAAUUGCAUAUAGUGUGGUUUUUAAAUUUUUAAGCUAGGGUGAGUUUGAGAUGAAGCCAAUGUGUGUGUGCUUUUCACCAUUUUCCAUUUUUCCUUGGUGAACAUGUAUAAUUUUUAAAAAUCUAAAAAAUAUACUGUAUCCCCUGCAAGACUGAACGCUUUCUGUAAGUAAAGCCUGUUUAUUUUUGUAACCUCCAACUCAGCUAUGCACUUUACACAUAAUGGGCACAAAAUGGUUAUCUAUUUGGACUACAACAUAGAGGGUCCUAUAUAUGUCUCUUACUACAGAGAUGCUGUAAACAAAUCUAAGUUUUCUAUAAAUAUCCUAGUGAUUGUUCAGAUGCCAUUUUUUCAAAAUGAGACCCUACUUACUAGGCUGAUUCUUAAAGAUUCUAAUUUUAAUUUCAAUUUUAUGUUUCUGGUGUUUUUUAUAAAUGUAUUAGUGGCUAAAUCACAGUCCACAUACAAAUCUUGGUGAUAUUUUAAAAUAAUAGGUAACAUUUAUUGAACUCUUGCUAAGUCAAUACUGUCCUAGGCACUUUAAGACAUUUUCCCAUUUAGCAGUCCCAACAGUUCCAUGGAAUUAAAACUGUGAGACACAGAGACGUUAAAUGACUUCUGCCAGGACACGCAGCAAGUAAAUAAUGGAGCUGAUAGUCACACUCAGGAAGUAUGACUCCAUGUCUUUGCUUAAGUUCACACACUGUAAUUCAAGUGCUGUUCUUUGUUUAAGAAUGAAGUAUAAAAUCUUUUGUCACAAAAAUAAAGCAUGUGAUGGAGAGAUUAUUUUAUUUCAUUUUGUGGCCCCUUGAGAGAGUGGGGUGAUAGAAAAGGAGAGAAAAGUAUAAUUGAGAUGAGAGGAAGUGAAGAAAGCAAAAGAGAGAGGGACUACAGAUGGCAGAAAAAGGAAUGAUGACUCAGUGGCUUUGGGGUGAAAGCAUUGCUCCCUUUUUUACUUUGGCUGCACAAGCUUAGCUAGCGACCAUAUUGAGCACCUAUGUACUGAGUGCUCAGGGACACAGUGGUGAGAAGAAGAAAAAAAAUAGCUUCCUUGCCCUUAUGUAUAUAGUCUAAUUCUUAUGUAGUUUGAAGAAAUAGUGUACUGUAGGGCCAGCUGCCACUUGGGUAGAGCAGGCUGGCUCCUCCCAAACCUCUUUCAAAGGAUUCACCCAAACAAAAGAAUUCCCUAUUACUGUCCCACUUGUUUUGUGCACACCUAAUUCUUUUUGUUUGUUUUACAGGUCUUUUUGUUCUGUUUUAUUUUUGAGGUAAAAAUUAUAGUGCAGUGUGCAAAUAAUAAGUAUAAGGUUCAAUAAAUUUUGACAAAUGCAUACGCUCUUGUAACUGCUGGAGACAGUUUCCACAUGUCUUGCAAGCAGAGGCAACGUCUCUCUUUUCAGGAAUGUUUUUAUAGUGAACAGUCUUGAAAGGUAAUGUCCCCUCUGGAGCAAAAGGCAGGUUUGUUUACUGUCCAGUAUGAUAAAGAUAAUGUCUUCUUCCAGAGCAAAGGACAGGUACACUUACUGGCCUUUCUAAAAGAUUCAGGUUCCUGAAGGUUGAAGAUCUUCAGUUCUGACACAAGCUUACUGCAUACACAGCACCAAUCUGGGCCCCUCUUUGUUACCUGUUUAAGACUUAGGGGACAAGAGGAACCAAUGCAAACAUGAUGCUCAAACUGCUUAUUGUGCUGUGGAUAAUAAAGUUCUUUGUCUCUGA